ensembl:lncRNA
CCUGCUGGGUUCAUCAAACCUGAAACACCUGAAUAUUCUGCAGAGAGGCAGAGGGAGGGGUGGGGUGGGGUGGUGGGGAGGUUCACUAUAGAAAUAGGAAAGAGAGGUAGCGCAUGCUACAAAAGCAACUAUUGAAUGCGAAUGGCACCAUUUUCUUAAAAAAAAAAAAAGCCACUUUUUAUUUUUAUAAUUGUCAUUAGACAUUACAGAUAUUUUUUUAGAAGCAGCAUACUUUUAAGAGUGGAAAGAGCAAGACAGCAAUCAGACAGUAUCUACGCAAAAGAACAAUUUUAUGGAUAUUAUCAUGGUUAGGAAUCCAAGUGUUCUGGAAUCUGAGACCUUUGAUUUAAGUUGUAUCUCCAGGGACUACCCUGGUGGCUCAGUGGUGGAGAGUCUGCCUGCCAGAGCAGGAGACACAGAUUCGAUCCUUGGUCCUGGAGGAUCUUACAUGCCCAAGGGCAACUGAGCCUGUGCGCUAGAGUCCGGGAGCCACAACUACUGAAGCCUACGCACCCUAGAGCCCAUGCUGCACAGCAGGAGAAGCCACUGCGAUGAGAAGCCCCCCCUCACUGCAGCUAGAGAAAACCUCGUGCAGCAGCGAAGACCCAGCACAGCCAAAAAUAAAUAAAUAAAUAAAAUCAGUAAAAGAAAAUAAUUGUAUCUCCAUCACUAACUAGCUGCCUGAUGUUGGGAAUUUUAGUUUGGAGGAGGAAGACAAGUGUCCUUCUUACCAGAUCAUAUUAAGGAUGGCUGCCUUCUCACUGCAUGCUCACGGCGCACGUUCUGAGGGAGAAAGAUUUCUGGUAUCUCCUCCUCUUAAAAGGGCACUAGUCCUUUUGGAAUAGGGCCCCAUCUUUAUGAUCUCAUUUAGGCUUAUUUUCUCCCUUAAAGGCCCUAUUUCCAAAUAUAGUGUCAUUGGGGAUUAGGGCUUCAGCAAAUAAUUUUUCUUUGGGUGGGCGGGACACAAUUCAGGCCUCAUACCUCAGGGCUCAUAAUGAUUUACUUUACACCUCAAGUUAUAAUCCAAUACUAUAUUACUUAUUUUGCUUUUCAAGUAGCCUUUGGGAGCUCUUUCAGUUGAUUCUUGCCUCCCCUUGAUAAACUCCAUCAGUUUGGUUUUUGAGUACUUCCUUAUUUUCUUGCUACAAGAUAUCCCAGGUUAAUCUUGUCUGUUACCUGCUCCCAGGAUUAGCUGUUUCUCCAAAGACCCUAGUUCCUUCUACUGGAGAAUGGUAUUAGAAACCCACAUCCGGUACCUGGGUUUGCUUGUUGCUACUGGGUAUUGUUGCCUUUGGGCCCUCUCACUUCUUUCAGUGCUUCCUUGUAUUGACUUUUCAAAUAAUCUGAUAUAGUGUCUUGUCC